UACGUAGGGUGCAAGCGUUAAUCGGAAUUACUGGGCGUAAAGCGUGCGCAGGCGGUUAUGUAAGACAGAUGUGAAAUGCCCGGGCUUAACCUGGGAACUGCAUUUGUGACUGCAUGGCUAGAGUUUGGCAGAGGGGGGGUAGAAUUCCACGUGUAGCAGUGAAAUGCGUAGAUAUGUGGAGGAACACCGAUGGCGAAGGCAGCCCCCCUGGGUCAAGACUGACGCUCAUGCACGAAAGCGUGGGGAGCAAACGAGGAUUAGAGUACC
rnacentral:rRNA from 1 species